rnacentral:rRNA from 1 species
GAUGAACGCUGGCGGCGUGCCUAAUACAUGCAAGUCGAGCGAACAGACGAGGAGCUUGCUCCUCUGACGUUAGCGGCGGACGGGUGAGUAACACGUGGAUAACCUACCUAUAAGACUGGGGUAACUUCGGGAAACCGGAGCUAAUACCGGAUAAUAUAUUGAACCGCAUGGUUCAAUAGUGAAAGACGGUUUUGCUGUCACUUAUAGAUGGAUCCGCGCCGCAUUAGCUAGUUGGUAAGGUAACGGCUUACCAAGGCAACGAUGCGUAGCCGACCUGAGAGGGUGAUCGGCCACACUGGAACUGAGACACGGUCCAGACUCCUACGGGAGGCAGCAGUAGGGAAUCUUCCGCAAAGGGCGAAAGCCUGACGGAGCAACGCCGCGUGAGUGAUGAAGGUCUUCGGAUCGUAAAACUCUGUUAUUAGGGAAGAACAAAUGUGUAAGUAACUAUGCACGUCUUGACGGUACCUAAUCAGAAAGCCACGGCUAACUACGUG